rnacentral:rRNA from 1 species
AUUGAACGCUGGCGGCAGGCCUAACACAUGCAAGUCGAACGAGUGGCGGACGGGUGAGUAAUGUCUGGGAAACUGCCUGAUGGAGGGGGAUAACUACUGGAACCGGUAGCUAAUACCGCAUACCAUCAGAUGUGCCCAGAUGGGAUUAGCUUGUUGGUGGGGUAACGGAUCACCAAGGCGACGAUCCCUAGCUGGUCUGAGAGGAUGACCAGCCACAGGUGAACUGAGACACGGUCCAGACUCCUACGGGAGUCAGAAGUGUGGAAUAUUGAACAAGGGGCGAAAGCCUGAUGCAGCAAUGCAGCGUGUAUGAAGAAGGCCCUCGGGUUGUAAAGUACUUUCAGCGGGAAGGCGUUACCCGCAGAAGAAGCACCGGCUAACUCCGUGCUAGCAGCCGCGGUAAUAC